UAAAUUAAAUCAAGGUUGAGAAGCUAGCUAUAUGAUUACACAAGCACCCUAAAAAAUUCAUAGAUGGUAAAUAAGCUUCAUCGCUAUUUGGCGUAUUUAUUAAAGGCUCAAGGUACAACAAGGCGCUUAGGGUCCUACCUUCUUGAAGCCUAGGCACAAGGCACGUGCCUAAGUGAGCUGAGGCGCGAAAAUAAAAAAAUUAUGAAAA
rnacentral:misc_RNA from 1 species